rnacentral:lncRNA from 1 species
GUUUUGAUUCUCAUAUUUUCAUCAAUUUGAAAUUGGUUCCGCAAUUUUAAAUAUCGACGAUUUUGUCCCUUCAAUUAGAUGUUUUAACUAAAAAAUAAUAAUGUGACAUAAUAAAAAUGAUAUGAAAUUAUCUAGAUGUAUUAAUUAUUUAUAUAUUAUUAAAAUAAAUAUAUAAUUUUAAACUGAUGUUUUAUAUAGUUUUAUUGUAAUUUUUUGGAUAUUAAUCAUUAAAUAUUAUCUAUUCAUAAGUCAUUUCAUUUAAAAUAUCUCAAGUCACCAAUUUUUAGUUAAAAAAUAAAAAAGAGAGACAAAAACUGUCGAAUUUUAAAAUUGGAGACAAAUUCCACAUAUUAGUAAAAAUAAAUAAUCAAAACUGCAAUUAACCAUAAUUUUUUUGAUGAUUUUUUAUGUAUUAAUCUAUCAUGAACCACUUCUAAAAACAUUAAGAAGGAGGUCAACUUAAAUAAAUAGUCAUAAAUUGUCGGUUGACAUUAAAAAAUUAUCAAUUAACUAAUUGAAUAAAGAAUAUUAAAAAAAAUAAUCUCCUUGAAAAACAAAAUAUAAUGUAUAAAAAAUAAAUUUAAAACAUAUUAAUUUGGAAAAAAAUAAGAAAUAUAUUGUCGCUCUGUUAGUACAAAUUAGUUUCAUAAUAAUAUUUAAUAAGAUCAAAUGAUGGAGUGAUUAUUUAAAAAUUACUAUUACAAAAUCAACUUAUAUAACAGGAUGAAGAGUUAUGAUUAAAUAAUGGCUCAUGCAUAACAAUUAAUCUCUUAUUAAUAUUACAACACAUAGCAAUAUAUUUAUUAAGUGUUUGAAAAUAAUAAAACAAAAUAUUUACAUUCGAAUCAUUAACAUAGCAAUAUAUUUUGUUGUUGUACAUUAACGGGUCUUUAAAAUAAAUACUAUAUAUAAUUUUUUUUGGGUACAACUAUUUUUAUAUAAUUUAACAAGUCAAAAUAUAGAUUCUCAUAUCUAACUCACAUUUCGUUAACUUGUCGUUAUUGAAAAAAUCAAAAGCAAAAUCAACACUAAUCAGAGUCCCAAGUCAAAGCUGCAUAAUUUAGCAGAAAAAUAUUCGUUGAUGCUCCAAUUAAAUAAUUAAAUUAAAUGCUCUCUCAUUCCUUUGAUUAGAGUUCUUAAUAUAUCCAUCAGUUAGUUAGUAGUUAGUUCGUUAUUCAUUCAAUUGUAUUCUACCUUUUUUGCUGUUUUAAUAGAGGUAUUUUUUUAGAAAAUCAUUGUGCAGUCUUUUCUUCUUGUUCUGAACUUUUUAUCAACAAUUAAGGAAAAAUCUCUGACAAAUGGUAGUAAAAUUAAUGGAUCAAAAUAAAAUAAAAGUAAUUAAAAAAAUUAAGAGAUUAAAGGUGUAAUUUAAUUAAUUUAUUUAUUUUUGUUAUUAUUAUUUUGAAGGCAUCUAUUCAUUUUAUAAAAACUCAAUUUUAUAAUUAUUUGAUAUAUUUAAAUGCAUGGAUGUUCAGAUAUUUUACUCAAUUACUCUAAGUUUUUAACCUUUUCCUUUAAUUUUUAUGAUGAUAAUGUUUGUUUGUUAGUAUUAUUUUUGGUCUUAUUUAUAAAAAUAAUAAUAAUAAUAAUAAUAAUAAUAAAUAUCAAAAUUAAUGUAUUUAUUAAUU